GGCGACGUACCCAAGUGGUUAAGGGGGAGGUCUGCAAAACCUCUAUGCAUCGGUUCGAAUCCGAUCGUCGCCUC
rnacentral:tRNA from 1 species